rnacentral:rRNA from 1 species
AAAUUGAAGAGUUUGAUCAUGGCUCAGAUUGAACGCUGGCGGCAGGCCUAACACAUGCAAGUCGAGCGGAAACGAGUUAUCAGAACCUUCGGGGGACGAUAACGGCGUCGAGCGGCGGACGGGUGAGUAAUGCCUAGGAAAUUGCCCUGAUGUGGGGGGUAACCAUUGGAAACGAUGGCUAAUACCGCAUGAUGCCUACGGGCCAAAGA